rnacentral:rRNA from 1 species
UACGGAGGGUGCGAGCGUUGUUCGGAAUUAUUGGGCGUAAAGGGCUCGUAGGCGGUUUGUCGCGUCGGGAGUGAAAACACCGGGCUUAACUCGGUGCUUGCUUUCGAUACGGGCAGACUAGAGGUAUGCAGGGGAGAACGGAAUUCCUGGUGUAGCGGUGAAAUGCGCAGAUAUCAGGAGGAACACCAGCGGCGAAGGCGGCGCUCUGGGCCGGUACUGACGCUGAGGAGCGAAAGCGUGGGGAGCAAACAGG